CCUCCCUAAACCCUAGGAUUUUUGUAGCCACCUAGGCCAAAAACUAAUGGUUCCAUAGUAAACAUAAAUAAUUUAAAAAAGGAAAAUUCUAUGGUGAAGUCAUCAGAUCGACUUUUUUGGUGAAGUUAACACUAUAACAUCAAAAGUGUAAUGAGUAACAUCCCACUGUUUGUGCAGUGACAUCAAAAGUUAUGUCCCCAUAGUAUUAUCAAUUCAUCAGAUUAACAAGACUACACUUAAUCUAAUUUUAUUCUACCUUCUUUUAAGUGUAACACUUAAGACUCACAUAAUAUCAUCAACUCAGCUUGCAUGUUAAAGAUGCCAAUGAUAAAAUAGUACAUGUAAGUCCAAGAUGUUGCAACCAUUACUAGAUGAAUUACUAUUUAUCAUUAAUCAGUAAU
rnacentral:lncRNA from 1 species